UGUCCACAUCUUUACAGGACAACGAUCACUUAAAGGUAUACACUUUGUUACCUGCUGCAUGGGGAUGACGGGUUACAAACAAUGUCCACGUCUAUACAGGACAACGAUCACUUAAAGGUAUACACUUUGUUACCUGCUGCAUGGGGAUGAGUGGUCCCAACCAAUGUCCACAUCUUUACAGGACAACGAUCACUUAAAGGUAUACACUUGGUUACCUGCUGCAUGGGGAUGACGGGUUACAAACAAUGUCCACGUCUAUACAGGACAACGAUCACUUAAAGGUAUACACUUGGUUACCUGCUGCAUGGGGAUGAGGGGUUACAAACAAUGUCCACGUCUAUACAGGACAACGAUCACUUAAAGGUAUACACUUUGUUACCUGCUGCAUGGGGAUGAGGGGUUACAAACAAUGUCCACGUCUAUACAGGACAACAAUCACUUAAAGGUAUACACUUUGUUACCUGCUGCUUGGGAAUGAGUGGUCCCAAACAAUGUCCACGUCUAUACAGGAAAUGAUUACUUAAAGGUAUACACUUUGUUACCUGCUGCAUGGGAAUGAGUGGUCCCAAACAAUGUCCACGUCUAUACAGGACAACGAUCACUUAAAGGUAUACACUUUGUUACUUGCUGCAUGGGGAUGAGUGGUCCCAAACAAUGUCCACGUCUAUACAGGACAACGAUCACUUAAAGGUAUACACUUUGUUACCUGCUGCAUGGGGAUGACGGGUUACAAACAAUGUCCACGUCUAUACAGGACAACGAUCACUUAAAGGUAUACACUUUGUUACCUGCUGCAUGGGGAUGAGUGGUCCCAACCAAUGUCCACAUCUUUACAGGACAACGAUCACUUAAAGGUAUACACUUGGUUACCUGCUGCAUGGGGAUGACGGGUUACAAACAAUGUCCACGUCUAUACAGGACAACGAUCACUUAAAGGUAUACACUUGGUUACCUGCUGCAUGGGGAUGAGGGGUUACAAACAAUGUCCACGUCUAUACAGGACAACGAUCACUUAAAGGUAUACACUUGGUUACCUGCUGCAUGGGGAUGAGUGGUCCCAAACAAUGUCCACGUCUAUACAGGACAACGAUCACUUAAAGGUAUACACUUUGUUACCUGCUGCAUGGGAAUGAGUGGUCCCAAACAAUGUCCACAUCUAUACAGGACAACAAUCACUUAAAGGUAUACACUUUGUUACCUGCUGCAUGGGGAUGAGGGGUUACAAACAAUGUCCACGUCUAUACAGGACAACAAUCACUUAAAGGUAUACACUUUGUUACCUGCUGCUUGGGAAUGAGUGGUCCCAAACAAUGUCCACGUCUAUACAGGAAAUGAUUACUUAAAGGUAUACACUUUGUUACCUGCUGCAUGGGAAUGAGUGGUCCCAAACAAUGUCCACGUCUAUACAGGACAACGAUCACUUAAAGGUAUACACUUUGUUACCUGCUGCAUGGGGAUGAGUGGUCCCAAACAAUGUCCACGUCUAUACAGGACAACGAUCACUUAAAGGUAUACACUUUGUUACCUGCUGCAUGGGGAUGACGGGUUACAAACAAUGUCCACGUCUAUACAGGACAACGAUCACUUAAAGGUAUACACUUUGUUACCUGCUGCAUGGGGAUGAGUGGUCCCAACCAAUGUCCACAUCUUUACAGGACAACGAUCACUUAAAGGUAUACACUUGGUUACCUGCUGCAUGGGGAUGACGGGUUACAAACAAUGUCCACGUCUAUACAGGACAACGAUCACUUAAAGGUAUACACUUGGUUACCUGCUGCAUGGGGAUGAGGGGUUACAAACAAUGUCCACGUCUAUACAGGACAACGAUCACUUAAAGGUAUACACUUUGUUACCUGCUGCAUGGGGAUGAGUGGUCCCAAACAAUGUCCACGUCUAUACAGGACAACGAUCACUUAAAGGUAUACACUUUGUUACCUGCUGCAUGGGGAUGAGUUGUCCCAAACAAUGUCCACGUCUAUAGAGGACAACGAUCACCUAAAGGUAUACACUUUGUUACCUGCUGCAUGGGGAGGAGUGGUCCCAAACAAUGUCCACGUCUAUACAGGACAACGAUCACUUAAAGGUAUACACUUUGUUACCUGCUGCAUUGGGAUGAGUUGU